AAAUCUUGGAAAUUCGAAACUAACGUAUUUCUUAGCUCUACCGUACAUUUUUGAAUAGGCGCAAACUUGAAAACGCGCGAGACGUUGGAAGUGGGAAUUUGUAGAGUGGAAGAAUCAGUAUUUGUGAUCUAUUAUUUACAUAGUCACUGUGCCGUUUUCGUAUUGCAUAAUUUUAUUUCGAUCGGGUUCAAUAUUCUGUUUAUACUAAUUAUGGUAGCCAUGCGGUUUGCCUGGCGUUUUGACUGUUAAGUUUGGUGAUGUUGGCCACCCUAAGGAUUUUUCACCCUCUCACGAGGUGUGUCCAAUAAACAGUACAGUCACUGAUCUUUGUCAACUUUUUAAGAAAAUAACAGAAUAUGAAGAAGGAAGACUAUAUAUAGGAUCGAUCUACUUCAUAACUGGAAAAAGAGAAGCAGUUCACAAAUGUUGAUGAGCAGAAGACAAGAAACUCUGGCUGCACAAAAAUCUGAGCACUUGAAAAAGAAAGAAAAAAAGAAAUGAAAAUAUGAAUGAUAUUCAAUCAAAGGAUCCAAAUGAUGAAAUUAUGGAAAUUCCACAUGGAGAGACAAUAAAUAAUUUUGAAUUGACCAUCUCUGCUCGAACUGCUUGAAAGCACUGAAAACUGUUACCCUGGUGCUGAACAAACUUUUCUCCUAGACUGGGAUUAAAAACUGUUCAAUUUCUGGCAUUAAAACACAAUCUGAAACAUGCUGAGGAAGGAUCGCCCUCUCCUUUUGACCAAGUAAGGAUAAGCAUUCUACAAAGAGUUGCAUUUGAAUUGAAAUUUUUUAUACUUUUACCAGGAAUGAACUACAUUACUCAUUUACUUAUAAUGGUUUAAUGUAUCAAAAUUGUCUAUUUUAAGUUUUUUAACAAAGAUUGUGUUGCCAUGGUUGGAAAACAAAGAACAUUUCUGUGAAAUCUUUCAAGAUGCUGUAUUAUAAAUCAUCUACUGUUACUUUUUUAGCAUGACUUCAUGCAUUUUCAUGAAUAAACAUGAAUAAUAAUA